UGCAAAUCAGAGGUAGUUUGACCACUGUUCUUUCUCGUCGAUUAUAUUAUAAUAUUUGACUAAGCUUUCUUUUGUUCUGUGUUCUUGAAAAGCGAGCUGAGCAGAGCCGUUGGAUCAUGGAAACGGAGAUCGAUGAGCGAAGAGAUAGAUAAAUAGAGGGAAGAGAGAGAUUGGUAGGCUAGCUCUCUGAGCUCUUAAGGGUUUUGUUCUUUCAGGUUCUCAAAAAAGACAGCAUGCGAUCUAUCAAUCUCCUUCAAUGUUUUAACACAUGUACCUCUUUUGAAUUAUCAUCAAAACCGAGUCUAAUUUUAAAUAUUUUC
rnacentral:lncRNA from 1 species